rnacentral:rRNA from 1 species
UACUUAGGGGGCGAGCGUUGUCCGAAGUUACUGGGCGUAAAGCGCGCGUAGGCGGGUUCUUAAGUGAGGGGUGAAAGGUUUGUGCUCAACCCAAACACUGCCUUUCAUACUGGGAGCCUUGAGUAUGGGAGAGGCGAGUGGAAUGGUCGGUGUAGCGGUGAAAUGCGCAGAUAUCAGGAGGAACACCAAUUGCGAAGGCAGCUCGCUGGAACGUAACUGACGCUGAUACGCGAAAGCGUGGGGAGCAAACAGG